rnacentral:tRNA from 1 species
AACGGUAUAGCUCAGCAGGUAGAGCGUCAGGUAACACUGAAGGUCGCAGGUUCGAGUCCUGCUGCCGUUC